rnacentral:rRNA from 1 species
UACGUAGGGUGCAAGCGUUGUCCGGAAUUAUUGGGCGUAAAGAGCUCGUAGGCGGUCUGUCGCGUCUGCUGUGAAAACUCAGGGCUUAACCCUGAGCUUGCAGUGGGUACGGGCAGACUAGAGUGCGGUAGGGGAGACUGGAAUUCCUGGUGUAGCGGUGAAAUGCGCAGAUAUCAGGAGGAACACCGGUGGGCGAAGGCGG